AGAGUUUGAUUCUGGCUCAGGACGAACGCUGGCGGCAUGCCUAAUACAUGCAAGUCGAACGCUGAAGCACUCUGCUUGCAGAGUGCGGAUGAGUGGCGAACGGGUGAGUAACACGUGGGAAAUCUGCCUAGGAGUGGGGGAUAACAUUCGGAAACGGAUGCUAAUACCGCAUAUCUUUUUGAACCGCAUGGUUCUUAAACGAAAGACGGCUUCGGCUGUCGCUCUUAGAUGAUCCCGCGGCGUAUUAGUUAGUUGGUGGGGUAAAGGCCUACCAAGACCAUGAUACGUAGCCGACCUGAGAGGGUGAUCGGCCACACUGGGACUGAGACACGGCCCAGACUCCUACGGGAGGCAGCAGUAGGGAAUCUUCCACAAUGGGUGAAAACCUGAUGGAGCAAUGCCGCGUGAAUGAAGAAGGUCUUCGGAUCGUAAAGUUCUGUUAUUAGAGAAGAACAAGUCAAGGAGUAACUGUCUUGACUUUGACGGUACCUAACCAGAAAGUCACGGCUAACUACGUGCCAGCAGCCGCGGUAAUACGUAGGUGACAAGCGUUGUCCGGAAUUAUUGGGCGUAAAGGGAGCGCAGGCGGUUGGAAUAGUCUGAUGUGAAAGCCCACGGCUUAACCGUGGAAGGUCAUUGGAAACUGUCCAACUUGAAUACAGAAGAGGUAAGUGGAAUUCCAAGUGUAGCGGUGAAAUGCGUAGAUAUUUGGAGGAACACCAGUGGCGAAGGCGACUUACUGGUCUGUAAUUGACGCUGAGGCUCGAAAGCGUGGGUAGCAAACAGAAGUAGAUACCCUGGUAGUCCACGCCGUAAA
rnacentral:rRNA from 1 species